GGCCAUUGCCAUCCGCCCAAAUCUACAGACAUCCCGCAUGUUCCCGGGCUCGUCUCCCCAAUACAGGGCACCAAGCAUCCUACCAAGGCGAAUCCAUUGACCAGGAUUUAAGUUGAGACUCCCCCAGGACCCCGGGUGCAGCAUCUGGGUCCCCCUGCCCCGCCCUGCCUUGCGCCGCAGCCGCUUCCGUUGUCCUGCCAGGCUGUAGACUGCGCAGCCCUCCUGGAGACAGAUGGAAGCUCCUUGGGUCGACAGAUUACAGCUUCUGGAACCCCCUACUCCCUUCAACUCCGAGAUGGACACCCACUGUCCAGGGAGAGGAUGCCUGGAAAUAACAGCUGGGAUCUACAGUGGCCAAAGAGUUGUCUCCGUCUUGCUACAUCGACAAACUGGUGCUCCUGAGUGAGGAUUGUGCCCUGGGAUGGGGGAUUCAGUUUCUUCAUUUAUAGUUGGAAGUGGGUGAAGGUGAGUGCCAGGAGCGACGGUACACUCCAGAGUGCUGUGCCCUGAUGGGCCUUUGAGUGGCCAGUGCAGUGGAUCAUCAGCCCUGUCUCCCAAGAGCUCCAGUCCCUUCUCCGGAGAGGAAGUGGGUCCACUGGCAGCUCAGGAGGCCAUAGCAGGAUUGUCACGUGUGCUCAACAGUCCUCCUCGGCUUUCCAGAAGAGGCUGGAACAGGGCCCUUGAAGAUGUUUGUGGACAUCAGAGGGCCAAAGACGACACAAAGUGAAACUGGAGACACCGCCCCCCCUUGGCAUCAUGAAACUGCCGAUGUUACUGGCUCAUGCAUGGGAGACACCAGCAUACAAAGUCUUGACACCAACACCUCAGAGGGCUGUGUUCUGUCCCCGUGACCAUCAUCUAGUGCCUGGAAAGACUAGUGACAAGAACUUGUUGCCAACUUCCUAUUACCUCCCUAACAGUUGUGCAAUAAACCCCAUAGGUUAA
rnacentral:lncRNA from 1 species